AAUGAUUCAGGGUUUAUUCCAGAAAAUAAUCCUAAGCACCUAAUGCUGAUUGGUUUAAUGAUACAAAAACUAAUUUGGAAAGAAUGGAAGGUUUCCUAGGGCACAGCUGAUGAUGUGAAUGUGAAAAGACUUCAUUUCCCACAUUUAAAGAAUGGAAACAACAUGCAAUUAUGUGUUCUUCGAUGAGGUGUUUUCUUUGAAAUGGUAGAACUUGGAAACUCUCCAUAUGAGAAAGGUGGAAAAAUUUAAGUCAUUGUGCUGAGUGUUUGGGGACAGAAAGGGAGCAACGCGAGCCCAAGAAAGAGAAAAGAGGACAGGAUCAAGGGAGGUGAGUUCAAGCUUUGACCUUGCUGGUUUGUUGAAUGCCCUUGGGCCAGUCCUGACCACUCUCAGCUUAUAGUCCUGACAUGUAAAAUAAGUGGCUUA
rnacentral:lncRNA from 1 species